ACUCCUACGGGAGGCAGCAGUGAGGAAUAUUGGUCAAUGGAGGGAACUCUGAACCAGCCAUCCCGCGUGUAGGAAGACGGCCUUAUGGGUUGUAAACUAGCUUUUAUACAGGAAGAAACGUACCCCGUCGAGGGUGCCUGACGGUACUGUAGGAAUAAGCACCGGCUAACUCCGUGCCAGCAGCCGCGGUAAUACGGAGGGUGCGAGCGUUAUCCGGAUUUAUUGGGUUUAAAGGUCCGUAGGCGGGUUAAUAAGUCAGUGGUGAAAUCCCAUCGCUUAACGAUGGAACUGCCAUUGAUACUGUUAGUCUUGAAUGAGGGUGCAGUGGUUGGAAUGUGUAGUGUAGCGGUGAAAUGCAUAGAUAUUACACAGAACACCGAUUGCGAAGGCAGAUCACUAACCCUAAAUUGACGCUGAGGGACGAAAGCGUGGGGAGCGAACAGGAUUAGAUACCCUGUAGACAUCAC
rnacentral:rRNA from 1 species